UACGUAGGGGGCUAGCGUUGUCCGGAAUCAUUGGGCGUAAAGAGCGUGUAGGCGGCCUGGUAAGUCCGCUGUAAAAGUCAAAGGCUCAACCUUUGAAUGUCAGUGGAUACUGCCGGGCUAGAGUCCGGAAGAGGCGAGUGGAACUCCUGGUGUAGCGGUGGAAUGCGCAGAUAUCAGGAGGAACACCGGUGGCGAAGGCGGGUCUCUGGGCAACAACUGACGCUGAGGAGCGAAAGCGUGGGGAGCGAACAGG
rnacentral:rRNA from 1 species